GUUGAACUUUAACUUACUCCAACUUUCCCGUCUGUUCUUAAUCUCUUAUACUGUAUGUAAGAGAGAAAUCUAUAUCAUGCAGCUAUGUUCUCUUAUAGUUUUUGAUUCUUGUUUGCUUGUUCACAGUUCAUAAUGGAUCCUUUAAGAUGAUUGAGGUGUAUCGAGUUUUAAUUGGAAGCGUUGAGGAAAGUAAUGUUCAAAACUAGCAAAUA
rnacentral:misc_RNA from 1 species